AUGUUGUCUAGACAAAUCUGGAGACUUAUUCAAUGCCCAGAUUCUCUGUGUGCGAAAGUGCUGCAAGCACGUUAUUUUCCAAAUGGGCAAAUCCUUGAGGCUGCACCAAGGGAUGGCAUCUCCUACUCAUGGCGUAGUUUGCUUCAUGGUCUGCAGCUGUUUCGGGAAGGAUAUAUCUGGAGGAUUGGGGAUGGAUCAAGCGUAAGAAUUUGGACUGACCAGUGGAUUCCUCGUCCCUGUUCGAGACAGGUUAUUACUCCUUGCGGACCAAACAUCCUGGAGUGGGUCUGUGAUCUCAUUGAUCCGACCACAGGAAGCCGGGAUGUGCAGCUGGUCAGGGAUACUUUCUGGGCUGACGCCGCCAACCACAUCCUUCGGAUACCUCUGCGGGAAGGUGUUCAAGACUUCAUAGCGUGGCACUAUGAUAGCAAGGGAGUUCAUUCGGUGAAAAGUGCCUAUAAACUCCAUAUACAACUGGAACAGACCAAGGUCGAUGCGGGAGCUGGUGGGAGCAACAAUAUUCCGGGCAACCUAGACAGGACAAAUGAUGAUGCAUGGAAACAUUUGUGGAAACUCCCAUGCCCGAAGAACAUCCAAAUGUUCGCGUGGAGGCUUAAGCAUGAAUCCCUAGUCCUUCGAACAAAUGUGGCUAGGAAAGGCAUUCCGAUUGCGGACACAAAAUGCAUGUUCUGUGGUAAGGCUGGCGAGGAUGGGGCACAUCUGUUUAUUAAGUGCAAAGAAGUGAAAGAGGUUUGGAGGGAUUUAGCUAUGGAGAAAGAACGCCAUGAGCUAGAAAGGAUCACGUCUGUGCAUGUAAUGCUGGACUUUCUUUGGGACCUAGAUGUGAAAAAGCGCCUACAUGUGCUUACCUUUUGGUGGCUGUGGUGGGCUAAUCAGAAUAAAUUGAGAGAGGGACGGCUGCCCAGCCAGCCUGCAGAUGUGGCGAGGAGAACGAGAAGUAAUGUCCUGGAAUACAUGCAAAUCUUUGGGAAGACUACGGACAAACCCUGCCCGGACAGGUGGCAGCCUCCCGCGGAGUCAGAGUACAAAAUAAAUGUCGAUGGAUCCUUUGUGGCGGGGCAGGAUCAUGUAGGUUGGGGCGUGGCAGCGAGGACGGCUGGCGGUCGGCUUGUUUGCGCUCCCGCGGGCAGGACGGAGAACAUCCAUGACGCUUUCGCGGCCGAAGCUGCAGCCAUGUCCCAUGUAAUCAGUAUGUGUAAGGGCAUAUUUGUCCCUAAGAUGUUUUGGUGA
rnacentral:rRNA from 1 species